AGCGGGCAUUGUGUCAAGGAGCAGUGUGGCUUGGCAGGGUCGUAUUUCGAAGAAAGCACGGCUCUCGACCUUUGCCUCUCGCGAGCCCGUACAGGAGUUGCACUGAUGCGACAAGACUGUAACUACCAAUAGGGAAGAAAAAGGGAUAACAAACAAUUUUACAUUUACACUUGAUUGAGGUAGGGAUAUCCCAAGGAUCCCGAAUAGCACGGACCCUCUGGUCAUAAUAUUUUCUAGUCCAUUAGCGAUAACAGGAAAUACACAAGUCGUAGGCUACAUAAUAGCUCAAGGUGGCAACUUCGGAAUGUCGGCUUGCACGGGAAAAACGCCUGUACAGUGGUUUCCUGGACUGUUUCCUGAAGACUUACUGCCACAACUGGCUCUGUGCCUGACCUGGCCAACGUGGCUGGAAUGCUGUGCUCUUUGUCUGAUACGGGGCCUGCUAGCAGCUCACCAGGAGAGACUUUGGGCUGGAGAACGUGUCUGACCUCAGUAGCCUGCAGUAUACCCUGUCUGGCUCCCUGGCAUUGGUCUUCUCCUCACUGGUGUUGUGUCUCAGAGAGCUGGUGAAGGGUCGUAUGCAGGCCAUGCAUGAGAUGAGGCUCGGGGGGAGACCUCCCUGGUGUCAUGCAUGUAAGUGUCGCAACUGUUCUCUGGUGACCUUAUGGGACCGUAUAAAUAGUAGACAUAUUUGGGUAGGAGGUCAUCUCUUAUUCAAGAGGAAUCAAUUUCUUAUCAAAACCAGUGCAAAAAUGUGUAGUUGGUGAAUGCAAUAUACCUUAGGUGAACCACCCAUAUAACCUGAGGGUCAUAGUUGACAGCACAUUAUGCAGAAUGUACACUGAAAUGUGAAGUGUUGGUCCCAUGUUUCAUAUCCUGAAAUAAAAGAUCACAGAAUUUUUCCAAAACAAUAUUACCCUCAAAAUGUGUACACAUGUGUUUACAUCCCUGUUCAUGAGCAUUUCUCCUUUGCCAAGACAGGUGUGGCAUAUCAACCUGACAGGUGUGGCAUAUCAAGAAACUGAUUAAACAGCAUGAUCAUUACACAGGUGCACCUUGUGCUGGGGACGAUAAAAGGCCAUGCUAAAAUGUGCAAUUUCAUCACGCAACACAAUGCCAUAGAUGUCUCAAGUUUUAGGGGAGCGUGCAAUUGUCAUGCUGACUGCAGGAAUGUCCACCAGAGCUGUUGCCAGAGAAUUUAAUGUUAAUUUCUCUACCAUAAGCCACCUCCAAUGUUGUUUUAGAGAAUUUUGCAGUACGUCCAACCGGCCUCACAACCGCAGAUCACAUGUAACCACGCCAGCCCGGGGGGGCUCUGCAGAACCCUGGCCAGUCCAAUGUUGACUUGGGUGAGUUCUGCCCUUAAUUUUAUUAAAUUUGUAUUUUUAGGAUGUCAUGACGACAUCUAUUCUUCCUUGGACUCCACUUCUCAUUUAGCUAUUCAGCAAAUUCCAGAU